GACAGGCGUGGUGGCUUGCCUGUGGCCCCAGCUACUCAGGAGGCUGAGGUAGGAGGAUCACUUGAGCCCAGGAGUUCUGGGCUGCAGUGCGCUAUGCUGAUUGGGUGUCCGCACUAAGUUCGGCAUCAAUAUGGUGACCUCCCAGGAGCGGGGGACCACCAGGUUGCCUAAGGAGGGGUGAACCGGCCCAGGUCAGAAAGAGAGCAGGUCAAAACUCCCGUGCUGAUCAGUAGUGGGAUUGCGCCUGUGAAUAGCCACUGUACUCCAGCCUGGGCAACAAAGCGAGACCCCCAUCUCUA
rnacentral:SRP_RNA from 1 species